GGAAUAUUGCACAAUGGGCGGAAGCCUGAUGCAGCGACGCCGCGUGAGGGAUGAAGGCCUUCGGGUUGUAAACCUCUUUCAGCAGGGACGAAGCGUGAGUGACGGUACCUGCAGAAGAAGCACCGGCUAACUACGUGCCAGCAGCCGCGGUAAUACGUAGGGUGCGAGCGUUGUCCGGAAUUACUGGGCGUAAAGAGUUCGUAGGCGGUUUGUCGCGUCGUUUGUGAAAACCCGGGGCUCAACUUCGGGCUUGCAGGCGAUACGGGCAGACUUGAGUGUUUCAGGGGAGACUGGAAUUCCUGGUGUAGCGGUGAAAUGCGCAGAUAUCAGGAGGAACACCGGUGGCGAAGGCGGGUCUCUGGGAAACAACUGACGCUGAGGAACGAAAGCGUGGGUAGCAAACAGGAUUAGAUACCCUGG
rnacentral:rRNA from 1 species